GUGAAUUAAACAUGCUUGGUGUCUUCGCUUCGGCAAGGCCCUUGCUUAAAUCACAUCCUAACACCUGUGAACUGUAAGACGUCUGAUGAGGUCUCUUGGCCAAGUCAUCGUCUGCCCAUUUUUAACAAACAAUUAAUGUAACAAACGUAGUCUUAUUAUAACCUAAUA
rnacentral:misc_RNA from 1 species